GAAGAUAUACACGCUAGUACGACGGAAGGAAAGAGGGUAGAGAUCUAAAUCACUUUAAGUGUAUUAAAGAUGAUAAUCAAGUUUUGUUGGGAGAUAGUGAGAUCGAAGAAAGAUGGGGAUGCUACUUUGAUAAGCUGUUUAGUGUGAGUAAUGAGGAUGACUUUACAAACCUUAAUGUUCCUUUGAUAGAGAACCUUAACUCCAUUCAUAGAAUUAGGUUUGCCGAAGUAAAAGAGGUGAUGAAGAAUAUGAACAUAGAGAGAUCUUGUGGCUUAGAUAGUAUCCCUAUAUAAGUAUGAACAUAGAGAGAUCUUGUGGCUUAGAUAGUAUCCCUAUAUAAGUAUGAAUUGGCUUGGAUAGAUUAGAGUAGCUUGGCUAAAUAAACUAUUUAAUGCCAUACUAAAAUUUGGAAAGAUGCCAAAUGAGUGAAGGAAGAUCAUUUUUAUUCCUAUCUUUAAGAAUAAAGGAG
rnacentral:misc_RNA from 1 species